UACGGGGGGAGCAAGCGUUGUUCGGAUUUACUGGGCGUAAAGGGCGCGUAGGCGGCGUGUUAAGUCAGCUGUGAAAUCUCCAAGCUUAACUUGGAACGGUCAGCUGAUACUGAUGUGCUAGAGUGCAGAAGGGGCAACCGGAAUUCUUGGUGUAGCGGUGAAAUGCGUAGAUAUCAAGAGGAACACCUGAGGUGAAGACGGGUUGCUGGGCUGACACUGACGCUGAGGCGCGAAAGCUAGGGUAGCAAACGGG
rnacentral:rRNA from 1 species